rnacentral:misc_RNA from 1 species
GAUGAAGAACGCAGCGAAAUGCGAUAAGUAAUGUGAAUUGCAGAAUUCAGUGAAUCAUCGAAUCUUUGAACGCAUCUUGCGCUCCUUGGUAUUCUGAGGAGCAUGCCUGUUUGAGUGUCAUUAAAUUCUCAACUACACUGACUUUGAAUUGGUGUGGCUUGGAUUUGGGGGGAAAAUUGUUGUGGGCUUUUUGUAUAGUCUGCUCCCCUGAAAUUGAUUAGCGGUACCUUUGUGGAACUGUCUACAGGUGUGAUAAUUAUCUACAUCUUAGACAUCUGCUGGAAUGCUGCUUUCUAAACCUUACUUGUAUUGACACUCUUGACCUCAAAUCAGGUAGGACUACCCGCUGAACUUAAGCAUAUCAAUAAGCGGAGGA